rnacentral:rRNA from 1 species
UACGUAGGGGGCUAGCGUUGUCCGGAUUUAUUGGGCGUAAAGGGCGCGUAGGCGGCCACGCACGUCCGUUGUGCAAAUCGCUACGGCUCAACUGGGCGGGGUCAGCGGAUACGGAGUGGCUGGAGCAAGCUAGGGGGCAAUGGAAUUCCCGGUGUAGUGGUGGAAUGCGUAGAUAUUCGACAAGAACACCGGUGGCGAAGGCGGCCAACUGGACCAUUACUGACGCUGAGGCGCGGAAAGCGUGGGGAGCAAACAGG